CCUCCCCCUCCUCCCCCACUGUCGGCUCUUCCCCCACCCCCCCAGGACCCCCCCUGCCUCCCAGCCGUGCAAAUCUCGCGAGGAAACACGCGGUUUCACUAGUGUGUUUACACCGAUCACUACUAAUCCGGACCGAACCGAUCCGGAUUAAGGGGCCGGAGGCGGGUCCUGGGCACCAGCGGUUCCGACCCCCCCCCCCCGCCCUCCGCGCCGCACCCGAGUGGCCCCCAGCCGAGCGGGCCCCCACCUCCCGGCCCGGCCUGGGCCCUCCUGCGCCUCCCUUGGCCUUUGUCCGGCGCCAGGAGGCCGGUCCCGCGCCCCCCGCGGCCGCCCCGGCCCGGGCCCGCGUCAGGCGCCUGGCUCUGUACGCGAGCCCGGGGAUCUGCGGCCUCCGCGGCCCCCCUCCCCCGCCCGCCCUCUCGUGGAGCCCGGCGCCGGCGGCAGCUGCCCGGGCGGGGGGUUGCGGCGCUCAGGAGAGGCCCCGGCUCCGCCCCGGGCCUGCCCAGGGGGAGAGCGGAGCGGUCCGCGACCGGGUCGGGUCGGGGCCCCUCCCGGGAGGAGCGUGGAGCGGCGGCGGCGGCGGCAGUAGAAAUGAUGGAAGAAUUGCAUAGCCUGGACCCUCGACGGCAGGAAUUAUUAGAGGCCAGGUUUACAGGAGUUGGUGUUAGUAAGGCAGGGCAGAGCCGACUGAAGAGGACCAGAAGGCACCACUGGAUUCUUACCCUUGGAGUCCCGAAGGCUCACGCCGGCUGGCAGCCAGCCGCCCCCAUGGAAGUCAGGGCCUCUCAGUCCUGGGGAGCGCCAGGCACGACCAGCUCUGGCUCCUGAGGUCCUAGUGGGGAGGAGAUGUUGUUGAGACCUGGGGGAUGGGGAGGGGAGCACACUCCUUCAAGAGUUAAAGUCCUGGAGGCCUGAAGCAGAAGUGGGAAUGGGGCUUCAAGGCGGAGCUUUGUGUGUUCAAGGCUAGUGUUGGAGAAGGUUCGGCGCCCGCUGUGGAGGGUUCCAGCUUGCAGGGCCAAGGGAAAUGAAGACCUCAACCUGUGAACAGCAUAAAGACCUCACGUGGAUGAGGGCGACACCCCAGAAUGGUGGAGCCGUCAAAUAGAAGGCGCCUGGCUCCCUGACAUGCGAACCACCAAACCAGCCCUGGACUACAGUCCUUAACCAGAUGAUUAUAUCAGAGAUCAAGGAGCUGCUUAUUUAUCUACCACACUGUUGUGUUGGGUCUCUACUGCGACUGAACCUAUAGCCUAAUGAAGGAGUGAGCACUGGUUAUCCUUCGCUACAACAAUGCUAACUGAUAAACCAUCCCCAAACUCAGCGGACUGGAACACCGAUUCUCGCAGGAUGGCCGGUACAGCUGUACUCGAAUGCUCUGCCGGCUGGGUCAGUGCUGCUUCUCACUGCUGGUCUGCAGAUCGGCGGGGCUAGCUCUUUUCCACCUGUGUUGGUUCUGGGGCCCCAGCUGAAGAGGCUACCGGAAGGAAGCAUAAUAAGAGGCGAAGCAGAAACUUCAUUGGACCUCUUCAAGCCCAGACACAGAACGAUCACACUUUCAUUUCUGCCCAUUCCAUGGGCCAAAGCAAGUCACAUGGUCAAGCCCCUUCCUGUCCAGGGGACAGGAAGUACACUCUGCCCACAGGGAGACAAAGCAAGAGUGUGGCUGUAGGGAGAGCCAAUAAUCCUCUCUAUCCUGGGAUGGGACCGAGCCCUGGUUUAGAGGUUAUGUACAAGGCCCCUCUCUUUUAGGUGUCCCCUGUAAAUGGAGCAGAGGGAAAGAUAGUCCAUCAAUGUGAAAGCCCCACCGCAGUUCUCUGUUAGGGCAGGAACCCUGACAAGGCAAGAAUCACAUCUCCUUCCUCUCCCCAAUACCUAGUACCAGGCCCUGCCCGCAGCGAUGACUCAGGAAUCUUACUGGGUGGAUUUUAAACCAUUUCUUCAUUCUCCACAUAUGAUUUCCUUUUGAAAUACAGACUGACCUCCUAAAGGUCAGCACAUAGUGCUGAGUUUGCCCCAGGAGCUGCAAAGGGACUAUGCCAUUAGGAGCUGGGAUUUGUACCUAGAUCUGUCUACACUGAAUCCUGUAUCCACUGCUUCCCAUAGGAACCUCCACAAGAAAGGGCUUCUACAAGUUAAACAUCAAACCAGGGUAGUGAGGGGCACCUGGGUGGCUCAGCUGGUUCCGCGACCCACUCUUGGUUUUGGCUGAGGUCAUGAUCUCAAGGUCCUGGGAUCAGCCUGUGUGGGGCUCCACACUCAGCGGGGAGUCUGCUUGAGGAUUCUCUCUCUCCCUCUGCCCGUCCCCUGCCCAAAUAAAUAAAUCUUAAAAAAAAAGUAGUGAAAUUUCUUUCUCUUGAGGCCUUUUGAAACUAGAUUCUCAUUGCCUGAAAUGUCCUAAGAGCGAGGCUGUCUAAAGGCACGGCCCUAGUCAGGGAUCUGCAUGGACUUCGGACAAUUUGAAGAACAGUGAGAUUCACCAUCAGAGCCCCCAAGGCUCCACAAGGCCUCCGGCCCCUGUCAUCGUCUCUUUUGCCAGCUUUCAGGGCAAAAGCAGAACCGGCCCCAGAUGCUCUACCUUAAUUGCUGCUUUUCCCCACAUACUUUGCACUCCAAAGGAGUACCACUUGAAGAGGGCCAGGAUUAACCCUAGAGAAUGCCACCGUCACCAUCGAAUUCCAGGCACGGGGCAUGUGGGUGGAAAGUAUAUUUUAGGCCAGUGACUCAUGCUAAGUUGCUUCCUCCAGUUCCUAAAUGGGACUAUUCAAUGUCAAGCUAUCUCAGGCUCGGGCUGACAAAAGCAGAGGGAUAGGGAACCUAGUGUUGCUGUAAGCUGUUGGUCAGGAUACAUGAAUAUAUACACUGCUUGUAUAACUUGACCAAGUUCACAAAGACAAAUAUAUCAGUCGCUGUUCUUUAUGCUCCAAGUGAAAGAAAUCCAACUAAAAUAUGCUUGAACCAAAAAUGUCAUACAGUGGAUCAGCUCAUAUACCCGGGAAGCCUAAGUGCUUAAAGCUGGCUGCAUCUAGGGCUCAAACAGCGUCAUCCUUUCCCCAUCUGUUCCUCAACUGUGCUUUCCUCUGGCUUCAGGCUCUGAAGGAUGCAAGCCCCAAGGCUGCAAAGAUGGUCAUUAGUAAUUCCAGCUCUACACCGAUGUAGAGGAAAACCCAUCCUCAAAAUGCCUCUGGUUGGUCUGCUUGCACGCUACCUCUGGGAAGAGGAGAUUUCUGAUUGGCCAGCCGUGGUCACGUGCACACGCGAGAUUUUAUUCAUCCAGGGGCGCCUAAGGAUUCCUGGCUCCAAACCCCACUUGCUCCACCACCGAACUAUGCCAGCCCUCCAACUAGAAUUAGAGCUGGCAGCUGGAGGGCUUAAACACCGGCCUGUUGUUCUGCAUAGCCAGGUGCAGGAUCGGAUUCAGGCUGUGGAGACUGAGGCUGUCAGGGAUGGCGGGGAAGUCUCCAAGAAGAGGAGGUUGCUGUUGACUGAUGAAUGGAGUGUUUCGAAAGCGGUGAAGCCAGGUCAUCCGUUUCUUCUUUUAAUGUGUCAUGUGAUUCUCCGAGGGUGCUGCUUUGUGAGUGGAAAUGCUCUCAGUGGUGGAGAAUGGACUGGACCCCUGGGCUGCCAUCCCGGUCAUCAAGAAGAAGCCAGUGGGAUCCGUGAAGGCAUUGCAGAAGCAGUACGUGUCCUCGGACAUGGUGGUCACUAGUGAAGACGGAGAUGCCAGCUAGAGGCUGUCUUUAUCCACGGCCUGCACGCCAAGCACAUCCGCGCCGAGGCCGGAGGGAAAAGGAAGAAAAGCGCCCACCAGAAGCCUCUUCCUCAGCCUGUCUUCUGGCCCCUCCUGAAAGCCGUCACCCACAACCAGCGGGGCAGCCCUGACGGAGCUGAAGCUAACCAGAGCUCGCUAACGGAGCCCCGCGGAGCUUGGUCUGCACUCCCACGGGCGAGACGUGCGCAGGGCACCAUGGUAGUCAGAAGAGGGGCAUUUGCAUCAGAUCAAGGAUUCAGGAACUCAGUUUGGUACGUGUGGGAUAUGAUCUUAUCCAGAGCGGCCCACCAAGACGCCUGCAUAAGUGUGGUCAAGUCAGUUUGCUGUGUAAAAACCCGCAGGCUCUCAAAUGCUAGCCUGGAGUCUGAUUCACUAGGCGGGGGCCCCAGAAUCUGCAUCCUGACCAAGUUCCCAGGUGAUUCUGAUGCAUAGCCAGGCGUGGGGACCACUGCCCCGCUUUGCCUUACCAGUUGCAUCCUCAAGACCCUGCAUUACCUGACUUUGCAACCCAGUCACCCACUCCUCCUCCCCAGCUUCUAAUCGGAAUGUGCUCGCCACUCCUGUUACAGAGCUGUUGCUUUCCUACCCUUGGUGCCUUUUUUCUGUCAGUCCUUUGUGCCUAGAAGGUUCUCCUUCCGUUUUUGCCUCUUGAGAUCCCUUGCGGCCCAACCCAGAUACUGCCUUUUCUAUGGCAUUUUUCUUACUGUGACCCGGAAAUGAUUGCCCACUCCCACCCCAGCUCUGCUGACAACAGGGUUCACCUCAGUGUGCCUGUGAAAGGUGGUUACCUGGAUUGAGGGCAGGACCAUGUCUUUACCCUGUAUCUUCACAGCUCCAAAGACUUGCACGUAGGGGCUCAUCAGAUGUGUGCUGGAUGAGCACAUGAUGUCAGGGGUCCCCCAGGUAGUUGUAAUGAAAAUGGUGGUUAUCCUUUAUGACAGCAACCUCAAAAAGUUGGGGGUUAUAGCUUAAUAUUUCUAAAUUUCCCAUAGAGCACUAUUAUCCAAGAUUUUUUCAAGCCUGUAUAUAUGGGCAGUCGUUAUUAUGGGCUUUUGCUACCCAGUGGAUAAAACGAGACCUUCGGUGAUUGGAAGCCAUUUCUUGACACAAGCCUGUCCUCC